rnacentral:rRNA from 1 species
AACGAACGCUGGCGGCAGGCUUAACACGUGCAAGUCGAGCGCCCCGCAAGGGGAGCGGCAGACGGGUGAGUAACGCGUGGGAAUCUACCCAUCUCUACGGAAUAACGCAUGGAAACGUGUGCUAAUACCGUAUACGUCCUUCGGGAGAAAGAUUUAUCGGAGAUGGAUGAGCCCGCGUUGGAUUAGCUAGUUAGUGGGGUAAAGGCCUACCAAGGCGACGAUCCAUAGCUGGUCUGAGAGGAUGAUCAGCCACACUGGGACUGAGACACGGCCCAGACUCCUACGGGAAGCAGCAGUGGGGAAUAUUGGACAAUGGGCGCAAGCCUGAUCCAGCCAUGCCGCGUGAGUGAUGAAGGCCCUAGGGUUGUAAAGCUCUUUCACCGGUGAAGAUAAUGACGGUAACCGGAGAAGAAGCCCCGGCUAACUUCGUGCCAGCCGCCGCAGUAACAC